UUAUGAGUCACAUUAUAAAAUGACUAAACUGACGGAUUAUAGAAAUUAUUGAACACUAUUAAAAUAUCAUGAUAAUCUAUCAUACAGUAAAUGAUGAGAGGGAAUACAAAAGAAAAUAGAUAGCACCGUAUUUUAUAUUCAGGCUUCGUGGAUACUUUGAAAUCAUUUUAAAUCUGGAAGGAGGUUAUACGAAGCUGGUCUUGGAGCCAGAAGACGCAGAUCAUGGGCAAACGAUCACCAUCCAUGGAUUGCAGCCAAAUGGAGUAAUUAUUUGGUGAUAUGGUUGUUCUGUAACUGUUUGGGCUGGAAUUUCUUUAUAGACACCCACGAAAUUGCUCCUAUUAAACUAAUA